UGGAAUAAGAUGGCAAAAGGGAAUCGAAGAAUGGAGGAUUGUAUGGUUUCCUGCAAUUUCCCCUCUUAUAAUUAUCAACUCGAUUCGACAAAGAAAAUCAUCAGUUUAGCUUUAGCACCAAAACCUUAGAAACUUGCCCUCCUUUGACAAAGAAAUGAACAGCAUUUGCUCCUUUGAUCAACAAUAAUCUCCAAAUCCUGUUCAUGGUGGACUAAUUCGACCUUCAAUCCAAUCUAUCAGCGGUAUUCAGCUCCAAUUUCAUGCCCUAUACCUGGAUUUCCGCUUCGUUAAUCAAUUGAGAAAAUCCCUAAAAUUGCGCUAUCAAUUUAACCCUAAGAAUGAGCAGCGGGCCGAAGAAGAGGAAUUUUCAGAUUGAAGCAUUCAAGCACAAAGUGGUGGUGGAUCCCAAGUAUGCCGAAAAGACUUGGAAGGUUUUAGAGGAUGCUAUUAAAGAGAUUUACAAUCAUAACGCUAGCGGGCUUAGUUUUGAAGAAUUAUACAGAAAUGCAUAUAAUAUGGUAUUACAUAAAUUUGGGGAGAAGCUUUAUUCUGGACUUGUGUCGACAAUGACACUCCAUCUUCAGUCAAUGUCCAAAUCUAUAGAAGCUGCCCAAGGUGCCUCGUUCCUGGAUGAACUUAAUGCCAAAUGGAACAAUCACAAUAAAGCAUUGCAAAUGAUCCGUGACAUACUAAUGUACGUGGACAGGACAUUAAUCCCAAGCACCCAUAAGACCCCUGUUCAUGAGCUCGGGCUAAACCUCUGGAGGGACUAUGUCAUUCACUCUUGUAAUAUCCAGUCAAGGCUUUUAAACACCAUUCUUGAACUGAUACAGAGGGAACGCACAGGUGAAGUCAUCAACAGAGGGCUUAUGAGAAAUAUUAUUAAAAUGCUAAUGGAUUUGGGAGCUUCAGUCUACCAAGAGGAUUUCGAGAAACCAUUUCUUAACGUUUCUGCUGAUUACUAUCAGGCAGAAUCACAGGAAUAUAUUGAGUGUUGUGAUUGUGCGGACUACCUGAAGAAAGCUGAAAGGCGUUUAAAUGAAGAUAUUGACAGGGUAUCACAUUACUUAGACACAAAGACUGAACCAAAGAUAACCAAUGUUGUAGAAAAGGAGAUGAUAGCCAACCACAUGCUUAGAUUGGUUCAUAUGGAGAACUCGGGUCUGGUAAAGAUGCUUCUGGAUGAUAAAUCUGAAGACUUGGCAAGGAUGUACAACUUAUUCCGUCGGGUUUCAGACGGCCUCUCCACAAUCAGGAAUGUAAUGACGUCCCACAUGAGAGAUACAGGAAAUCAGCUUGUUACUGAUCCAGAGAAAUCGAAGAAUCCAGUGGAGUUUGUUGAGACACUCCUUGAGAAAAGGGAUAAGUAUGAUAAAAUCAUAAGCUCGGCAUUCAGCAAUGACAAGACAUUCCAGAAUGCCUUGAGUUCUUCAUUUGAGUAUUUCAUUAAUUUAAAUCCUCGUUCUCCAGAGUACAUAUCUUUGUUUGUGGAUGAUAAGCUGCGCAAAGGGCUGAAGGGAGUGAAAGACGAGGAUGUUGAGCUUAUUCUUGAUAAGGUAAUGAUAUUGUUCCGUUACCUUCAGGAGAAAGAUGUUUUUGAGAAAUACUACAAACAGCACUUGGCAAAGAGGCUCCUGUCAGGAAAAACAGUAUCGGAUGAUGCAGAAAGAAGUCUCAUUGUCAAACUGAAGACUGAAUGUGGGUAUCAGUUUACAUCAAAAUUGGAAGGGAUGUUUACAGAUAUGAAGACGUCUCAGGACACUAUGCAAGGGUUUUAUGCUGCCUGCGGUGCUGAGCUGGGGAAUGGCCCAGCAUUAGUCGUCCAGGUUUUGACUACUGGGUCGUGGCCUACUCAAUCCACCAACACUUGCAACCUUCCAGCUGAGCUGUCAACUCUCUGCGAGAAGUUUCGAUCAUAUUACCUGAGGACUCAUACAGGUAGGAGAUUGACCUGGCAGACAAAUAUGGGAACAGCUGAUCUGAGAGCAACCUUUGGGAAUGUACAGAAGUAUGAGUUGAAUGUUUCGACUUAUCAAAUGUGUGUUUUAAUGCUGUUCAACAGUAACGAACAUCUUAGCUACAAGGAGAUUGAGCAGGUCACAGAGAUUCCAUCUUCUGACUUGAAACGGUGCCUGCAGUCCUUAGCUUGUGUAAAAGGGAAAAAUGUGCUUCGUAAAGAGCCCAUGAGCAAGGAUAUCGGAGAGGAUGAUGCAUUUUCUGUUAAUGACAAUUUCACCAGUAAACUUCGAAAGGUUAAAAUAGGAACUGUGGUUGCACAAAAAGAAUCUGAGCCGGAGAAGCAAGAGACAAGGCAGAGGGUGGAGGAAGAUAGGAAGCCCCAGAUUGAGGCUGCAAUAGUCAGAAUCAUGAAAUCGAGGAGGGUGCUGGAUCAUAAUAAUAUUAUUGCUGAGGUGACAAAACAAUUGCAGUCACGGUUCCUGGCCAACCCCGGGGAGAUCAAGAAACGAAUCGAAUCCCUUAUAGAGCGAGAUUUCUUGGAAAGGGAUAAUGCAGAUAGACGAUUAUACCGGUAUCUUGCGUGAAAUUUUUCUCCAAUAUUUCCAGGUUAGCUUUUGCCAUGAAAGUGCUACUGGUUGACAGUCGAGACAAGUUUAUUUCUGAAAGAUGCAAUUUUUCUUUUGAGUGAAACUAUUAUCUCUUCUUGCAAUGGCCACUAUUCAAUUCCACCCUUUGUAACAUCAUUUGCGUAUUGCCUACAGCUAUGAAUUCACUCUCUCGUCGUGCAAUGUGCUGUACUCGCAUCUCAAUCUCAUACAAUUUUUGGUUCAUGGCUGUAACUUUGGAGUUUAGUGGGGAGCCAACUUAGAGAAGGACGGGGAAGAGAAGAGAGAAGGGUAGAAGAUCUUGUACUGCAGCUCCCUUGACCAAAGCAAUUCAGCUUUUAUCUUAAGUUUAGGCACCACAAUUCCAUAGAGUAAAAUUAGCUACCACUUUAUUCCUCUUUGAGAAGGGUCUCCCAUAUGCUUGAAGGAAUCUUACGCGUAGCUCCAUGCUUCCAAUUUGUAUAGCAUGUGUUGUCUUUUAAUGUAUACAUGUAUAUUCCACAUUUCUCUAAAUAAAGUAUUUUCUCCACUUUUAUCCUUGAAAUAA